rnacentral:lncRNA from 10 species
UUUGUCUUGAUUUGCUAUUUUUUGGGUUUAGCUCUGAAGUCAUGAAUUAGUAAAGAGAGAUAUAAGACAAAUUUUCGGGCUAUUUUUAUAAAUUCAGUAUUGAAAAGAGAUUCCCAUUUCCCAGCUUUGAGACCUUUUAUUUUAAGCAAUAUUUGUUAGCAGAAAAUGUCUGUUCUGAAAGAGGUGUGCCAUGAGGUCAUGUUGACUUAUCUCCCUUAAUUUCCCUAAUGUCCCCUUCUCUUCAACUUCUCUUCACUGCUUUCUUUAAGAGUUUUCAGAUUGCCAGAGCCUUUCUACUAGUUUAUUUGCCAUUGUUCUGUCCCCUACUCCAGCUACCCACCAAACUACAACUAACACCAUCAUUGUUGCUCAUCACAAAUCUGAUCAUAUGGUUUUUAAAUUUCUCUUUUGCUUACAGAAUCAAAUCCAAAAUCCUCACUUUGGCAUUCAGAAGGUCUUUGCAAUGGGCCUUCUCAGCACCUUCCGCUAAAUCCCCCAGCCUUCUGGCCCCUUCCACCUUCUCCAAUGAAUGCUAAGCUCCAGCCACAUUGACCUACUCAUUUCCUGCAAUAUAUUAUGUAGCCUUUCUUGUCUUUAAAAUUGCUUUUUCUAAGUGUGCCUUUUCCCUCAUUUCUCUCAUUGGCACAUAGUUGGUGUUAAAUCAAUAUCUGAUAAAUAAUAAAUUAAUGCAUACAUGGUGAAAAUUUUCUAAAUUUUAAAGUUCUCUGCCCAUGGAGUAGAAGAACAUAGCAUCUGACAUUUUGGCAAUAUAUGGACACAUAAAUGAAUCAAUCAUAAAGAAAUAAUAACUUCUGAAAAUCCAGCCCAUAUAAACAGUUAUUUCUAGAUCCACCGAGCUUCUGCGUGCUGGGCCAGGAAGAUGCCUUUGAUGGCUAGGGGAUAUGUAGGUUUCUGGGUUAUGUUCCAGCUGUCACUCUGUGCAGGGCCUCUGGGGUUCUGCACCUGAAUAAACGGUUAAAUCUUCAAUCCUAAUAUGGCUGGGCAUCCAGUUAGUCAUGACUGAGACAAAGGGUAAGGAAGGUGAGUACCUCUGUGAACAGUGGUUAGUUUGUUUGGGCAUUCAACCAAAAGGGUACUCAGGGUCUUUGAGACACCUGCAGAGGGAAUUAUCCAUCAACCAGGCACAUAAGUGGAGGGGACAAGCUCAUGAAAGAAAAACAUCACCCUGAAGACGGGUAGCUGGGAGGCAGGCGAGGGAAGCUAACAAAACACCCUUCUUUUAUGAGUCACUUUUUUAAGGUCUUGCUUAAAUUUUUUGUUUAAAAAAAUUAUGAUUUAAAAGGUUCAAACAGCCUAGGGAAGUAAAUCCAUGCAUACUUCCAACAUUAGUUAAUAUUUACUAAGAAAUCAUAGGUUACAACAAAUUAAACUUUUUGGCUCUCUUACUGAGCUUUUCUGGCCAACCAUGUUAGGGACUGUUCCUACAGAUAGUUUAUAACUAUUUUUUUACCCCUCUAAGCAACUAAAGUGCAACGAAUCAGAAGAACUCUGGGUCCAUGUGGUUCUUAAGCCAGGGUCUUUGGAAAAUGGAUUUGAGGUUGAGGAAUGGAUCAAUGUGAACAGGCAGACACUAGACGUGCCCGCUAAUAACUGGGAAAACUUUCAGUUGCGACCUUAGGAAUGAGCUCACAAUUGGAAGCAAAUCUGUCUUCUGUUUCUACUGUUAAAGAAUUACCUACCCACUGACAAAAACACAUAGGAUUAACAAUGGCUUUGUCCCAGAUAGAUGCUUUUUGGAAUUGUACAAACUGUAUUUAUGAUGCUUGUACAUUUUGGUCCAACUUUUAAAUAUUUCAAUAAGACUGAUUGAAUUCUUAGUAAAUAGAAUACUUCCUCUGUUCAGUUUUGCUCUGUUGAAUGCUGGAAGUUUGGUGAGUCUGACCCACUACACGUAUCUCAGAUGAUUUAAAAACAAAGGCAGGCCAUUUGGUUUUGAUGCUGUGUCUGUUUUGGGCAGUGUCUCAGAUUGAAAUCCU